AUUGAACGCUGGCGGCAGGCCUAACACAUGCAAGUCGAGCGAGCGGCGGACGGGUGAGUAAUGUCCGGGAAACUGCCCGAUGGAGGGGGAUAACUACUGGAAACGGUAGCUAAUACCGCAUACCAUCAGAUGUGCCCAGAUGGGAUUAGCUAGUAGGGUGGGUAACGGCUCACCUAGGCAACGCUCCCUAGCUGGUCUGGGAGGAUGAGCAGGUACCCUAGAACGGAGACACGGUCCAGACGCCUACGUGAGGCAGCAGUGGGGAAUGUUGCACAAUGGGCGCAAUCCUGAUGCAGCCCUGCCGCGUGUGUGAAGAAGGCCUGCGGGUUGUAAAGCACUUUCAGCGGGGAGGCGUUAUUCGCAGAAGAAGCACCGGCUAACUCCGUGCCAGCAGCCGCGGUAAUAC
rnacentral:rRNA from 1 species